GCUACGAACCGUCUGCUUUUCGCUGACACAAGCGAGAGGUGUCAGCUGCGGGCCGACCGGACUCUUCCACGCAUGCGCACAGCCAUCCGGCUAAGGGAGACGGCUGUAGCAUAGGACUCUGUAGCGACCUGGGUGCAGCCUGCCGCCGCAAGUCCAUCCUGCUUUGCUCUGCUGAAAAACAACAGCACCUUAGACUCUGCUCCCUGGUACGGUCCAAGUCAUCUGCCACACAGGUCCAACGCAUCCACAUCCACUGGGGUUCCUGUCUUCUGAAACGAUACCGUUACCUUACAACUGGUUUCAGUGAGUUAUGCAGAGAAAGCUGUAAAUCAAGCGGAUAUGAGCAAGAAAAUUCCAGCUGAACGCGGCACUCACCAUCUGGACCAACUAACGAAAAUGUAGAAAUGACUCCAUCAGUCAUCAAUAUAAGUUUACCAAAUACAUCCACAAGAACGAACUGUUCAGAAUUAUGGCCACCAUGGUACUCUGCAGAGAAGAGUCGU